rnacentral:rRNA from 1 species
GACGAACGCUGGCGGCGUGCUUAACACAUGCAAGUCAAACGGAAAGGCCCUGCUUUUGUGGGGUGCUCGAGUGGCGAACGGGUGAGUAACACGUGAGUAACCUGCCCUUGACUUUGGGAUAACUUCGGAAAACAGGGGAUAAUACCGGAUAGGAGCACCAGCUGCAUGGUGGGGGUUGGAAAGUUUCGGCGGUUGGGGAUGGACUCGCGUCUUAUCAGCUUGUUGGUGGGGUAGUGGCUUACCAAGGCUUUGACGGGUAGCCGGCCUGAGAGGGUGACCGGCCACAUUGGGAAUGGGAUCAGGGCCAGAAUCCUACGGGAGGGAAGAGGGGGGAAAAAUUCAAAAUGGGCGGAAGCCUGAGGCAGCAACGCCGCGUGCGGGAGAAGGGCCUUCGGGGUGUAAACCGCUUUCGCCGGUGACGAAGCGUGAGUGACGGUAAUGGGUAAAGAAGCACCGGCUAAAUACGUG